GGCUAUACUAUAAAUGUAGUUUUUACUACUUUUCCUCUGAGAUGAAGAGCUGGACUGAGAGCAGAAGAUACUGUACAGAGAGAGGAGCAGAUCUGGUCAUCAUAAACAACACAGAGAAACAAAAAACUGUUGAUAUAAUGCAAGAUGGCAAGACUGGAUUCUGGAUUGGUCUGACUGACAGUGAAGAAGAGGGCAACUGGAAAUGGGUUGAUGGCAGCACACUGACCUCUGGGUUCUGGGGGUCUAGACAGCCCGGUGGAAAUACAAGCGAGAAUUGUGCUGUGUCUUAUUCAUCAGUGUUUCAUGACUCUCC